rnacentral:rRNA from 1 species
CAAGAGCGUAUAUUAAAGUUGCUGCGGUUAAAAAGCUCGUAGUUGGAUUUCAGUCUAGGAAGGUUAACUCGCCGAAAGGUUGUACGUUGAUUUUCCUCAGACUUCGUCAGAAGCUCGUGCUGCACUUAACUGUGUGGUACGAUGUUCUGACCUUUUACCUUGAGGAAAGUAGAGUGUUUCAGGCAGGCUACCCAGCUUGAAUACGUUAGCAUGGAAUAAUGAAAUGGAUCUCGGUUCGAUUUCGUUGGUUCUAGAGCUGAGGUGAUGAUCAAUAGGAACAGGCGAAGGUAUUCGUACUUGAGAGUGAGGAGUGAAAUCCGAUGAUCUCUUAAAGACGAUCCGAGGCGAAAGCAUUUGUCAAGGAUGUUUUCAUUGA